UACGUAGGGUGCGAGCGUUAAUCGGAAUUACUGGGCGUAAAGCGUGCGCAGGCGGUUUUGUAAGCCAGGUGUGAAAUCCCCGGGCUCAACCUGGGAAUGGCAUUUGGGACUGCAAGGCUGGAGUGCGGCAGAGGAGACUGGAAUUCCUGGUGUAGCAGUGAAAUGCGUAGAUAUCAGGAGGAACACCAAUGGCGAAGGCAGCACUCUGGGACGUGACUGACGCUGAGACGCGAAAGCGUGGGGAGCAAACAGG
rnacentral:rRNA from 1 species